CUUUCAUGUGAUUGGAGGGCGACUUUAGAAUGUUGUGUUAUGUAAGGGACAGCGGCCUCUAGGCUCGGAGGAACUGGUGGCGUCACUUAAUCUACAGGUGUAGCCUGCGGACGAUUAACAGUCGAAUAGGACCAUCAGAAGACAGAAAUUCGACCACUUACCUGCACACUAGGAGCAAUAUACAACCAAUAAACCUAUCAACCCACCCGUCUUUGGAAUGUGGGAGGAAACUGGAGUGCCUGGAGGAAACCACUGCAAUCACAGGGAGAAGCCACAAACUCCUCACAGACAACACUGAGGUCAGGGUUGAACCUGGGUCUCUAGUGCUGAGAGGCAGCACCUUUACCAGCUGUGCCAGGAAACAAAAUAAAUUAAGUAUUUCAACAAAGCAAGACCAUCCUUUUGAAAAACAGCUGACAACAAAUUGGUUAGCAGCCCAGACCCUCGAUUCAGCACAACAGCCCUGAGCCUGGUACCAGUGCCAAGUCCAGUGACUGAGCAGCAGGUCACAGGCACUGCAUCUGACCUCCAAUGUAUUCCUGACAUCUGUGCUGCCUGAAGAGGACCACAUUCUGGCCACUGUUACAGUUUGCUCAGUGCAAAUUCUUUCAUGUGAUUGCCUACUCAUCCAGCUUGAUGAUAUCACAACAAUCCUCCAAAAUCUGACUGCAGCAGGUAUUGGUAAAGGAGAAGUCCAUAGAUUGCUGGAUUCUUGGAGUCCUUUCUUUGAGGGUAGGCAGGAGUCCUGCCAAGACCAUCACUACCAAAGCCUGGAAGUAAGUGAAUAACCUCCUCCAGGUAGUCAACAAUGAACAAUAUGAGGAAGGCCACCCAGAAAGGAGAAGGGAGUCUCACAAUAUCUGCACCUCAAAGCUGGAGGAGACUGUCCUCCUCAUGGGCAGAGGGAUACUGAGGCCCAGACCAACUCACAGAGGGGCCAUGUUAAUCUGCCAGGUAUGCUCAUUAACAGUGUUUCCUUGUGAUUCCUACAUCCUCUUUGAGUUGAUCUACAGUAAACAUCGUCCUUAGUAUCAAUCAUCACUGGAAUUCACUGGAAGUAGGUGGUCCAUGUAUCCAUAUAGCUUCAGUCAACUCACUUCAGCUAUAUGAAGGCGUUAUAACAUAACACUGACCACAAGGAAGCUCUUCUAAUGAUACACAACCAUUUAUUUCCUGUUGAGGCAAAGAGCAGUCAAUGUCGCCUGACCAAGAUGUCACCUGGUCCUCACUGAAAUCAGUGAAAUAAAUGAAAUCAUUUCUUUGUGAAUACAUUGCCUCGGGGACUUCUCUGAGCAGUGAGCAGCAAACUGGAAGACAUGGCAGAUUUCUGCUGCAGCCAUUUGGAAAGGAAGUUCAGAGUUAAGCAUAACCUUGACUGAGAGAGCAGUCCAGGCACAAGAGUGUCGACAAAAGUCUAGCUGUAGCAUUUCACUCAUCUCAGUGAUGGCAACUCUGGAAAACCCGAAGCCUACAGAUACACUGAGGUCCAGGUUGGAUGUGGUGUCUCUGAAGAAUUUCUGGAAGUAGCCUCUGCACUGAUGGAGACAUCUUGGCCUCCUGCUCCAAACUCUUCCAGUUACCCCAAAUCCACAAUAGUGCUUCUACCACAGUACCUAAUACAUGAGUAUCUCAGCAGCUAAUGCCAGAGAAAGCACACGCUAACAGUAGCACACUCUGUGAACUUAAGUGUCUGAGGUGACUUCUCCAGAAUUGAUUACAAGCGCUAUCUAUUUUGGAUAAAAUUGCUUUUUGCAUUAAUCAAAUGCAUUUUAUAUAGGCUAUAAAAAUUAAUGUUGCAGCACAAUCAGAACAUUAUGCUGCAUUGAUAAAUAAGAUCAUAAUUUACAAAACAGUUUGCUUUGUUCCAUCCACGUGUCUAUGAUUCUUAGGGUAUUGUUACGAACCAGCAACAAAAGAAACACACUGAAUCAUGAUUCAGUGUUAAAAACUACUUUAUUAAUCACUACUUAUGAUAAUGAGAAAAGUAAAAGUAAAAAUGUUAGAAUGUUAGAAGUAAAAAUGUUAAACCUUGAACAUUAACCCCAAAACUAAACUCGUCGUGUGUGUGGGGCAAAGUCCCAAACUCCAAGUCCAGGAAUGGUUAUUAAAGUUCAGUUCUGCAAGCCAUAAGGUGAAACAUGAGCAAAGGCUUCUUCAACAACCACCGUUGUCUGAAGGUAAAACAUAGAUGUAGAGAACAGAGAGAGUAAUUACGAAAUCCAAAUGUUCCACGAUGGAACCCAAACGACACCUCAGUGUUCACUCGGUAGUGACUUCCUCACCCCGAAAAGCAUCUGAAUUGUCGUCGUCCACACAAAUACCUGUUUCCCUCUACAGGUCAGCAACAAAGUGAACUCCACCGGAUUACUCCCAAUUUCCAUACGUGGAUUGUAGUAACAGACACAGUUAUUGUUUCUCAUCCAUCGAUAGAGAAACUAGCAGGCUGGUGUCUCUCUCUCUCUCUCCUCUGACUGACUUCGAUUGACUUCUUCAACAACAUCAUUACGUCCUUUAUCUUCUGUUGACGUAAACACGCCCCACACACACACACACACCACUAUGCUCUAUCUUAAAGGGACAUUCACCUAGUCCGUAACAGUAUAGAUUCAUGCUGGGAUAUAAUUUGAUUGUUAUGUACAUUCAUCCAAUGAACCUUUAGCAAAUUUUGUAAAUUGUAUACAAAAUACUAAACAAAGUUGAACCCUUGCUAAUGGGUUUGCUCCCACAUCCUAAAAUGGUGGUACUGUAAGUUGCCCCUAGUGUUGGUGGGUAGUAAGAGAAUUAGGGAUAGUUGAGUCAUGUGAGAGAAUAGGUUGCAGAGAAAUAAGUGGGGGAAUGGCACUGAUGUAAAUGCUGUGAGAGCUGGCAAAGACUUGAUGGGCUGAAUAGUCUCCAUCUAGGUUGUGAAGAAUAUGAAAAGCCUUGUUGCAGUCAAAAUAAUUAAUGCUAAUUUGGUCAUGGUAAGUAUAUAGCUGUAUGUGCACAUUACCCGUGACCACAUUAAACUGCAGCGAAUUGUGGACACAGCUCAGCAAAUCAUGGAAACCAGCCUCCCCUCCAAUGGACUCUGUCUAUACUUCUUGCUGCCUCGGUAAAGCAGCCAGCACAAUCAAAGAUGCCACCCAUCCUGAACAUUUCCUCUUCUCCCCUCUCCCAGUGGGCAGAAGAUACUAAAGCCUGAAAGCAUGUACCACCAGGCUCAAGGGCAGCUUCUGUCCCACUGUUAUAAGACUAUUGAAUGGUUCCCUAGUACAACAAGAUGGUCUCUUGACCUCACAAUCGACCUUGUUAUGACUUUGCAACUUAUUGUCUACCUGCACUGCACUCUCUCUGUAGCUGUUACACUUUAUUCUGCAUUCUGUUAUCGUUUUACCUUGCACUACCUCAAUGCACUGUGUAAUGAAUUGAUCUGUAUGAAUGGUAUGCAAGACAAGU